rnacentral:rRNA from 1 species
UACGUAGGGUGCGAGCGUUGUCCGGAAUUAUUGGGCGUAAAGAGCUCGUAGGCGGUUUGUCGCGUCGACUGUGAAAACCUGGGGCUUAACUCUGGGCCUGCAGUCGAUACGGGCAGACUUGAGUUCGGUAGGGGAGACUGGAAUUCCUGGUGUAGCGGUGAAAUGCGCAGAUAUCGGGAAGAACACCCGUGGCGAAGGCGGCUCUCUGGGACGGUACUGACGCUGAGACGCGAAAGCGUGGGGAGCGAACAGG